rnacentral:rRNA from 1 species
GUCUGAUUUGAUGCUUGCAUUAAUGAAAGAUGAGCGGCGGACGGGUGAGUAACGCGUGGGUAACCUGCCCUAUACACAUGGAUAACAUACUGAAAAGUUUACUAAUACAUGAUAAUAUAUAUUUACGGCAUCGUAGAUAUAUCAAAGUGUUAGCGGUAUAGGAUGGACCCGCGUCUGAUUAGCUAGUUGGUGAGAUAACUGCCCACCAAGGCGACGAUCAGUAGCCGACCUGAGAGGGUGAUCGGCCACAUUGGAACUGAGACACGGUCCAAACUCCUACGGGAGGCAGCAGUGGGGAAUAUUGCACAAUGGGCGCAAGCCUGAUGCAGCAACGCCGCGUGAACGAUGAAGGUCUUCGGAUCGUAAAGUUCUGUUGCAGGGGAAGAUAAUGACGGUACCCUGUGAGGAAGCCCCGGCUAACUACGUGCCAGCAGCCGCGGUAAUACGUAGGGGGCUAGCGUUAUCCGGAUUUACUGGGCGUAAAGGGUGCGUAGGUGGUCUUUCAAGUCGGUGGUUAAAGGCUACGGCUCAACCGUAGUUAGCCUCCGAAACUGGAAGACUUGAGUGCAGGAGAGGAAAGUGGAAUUCCCAGUGUAGCGGUGAAAUGCGUAGAUAUUGGGAGGAACACCAGUAGCGAAGGCGGCUUUCUGGACUGCAGCUGACACUGAGGCACGAAAGCGUGGGUAGCAAACAGGAUUAGAUACCCUGGUAGUCCACGCUGUAAACGAUGAGUACUAGGUGUCGGGGGUUACCCCCCUCGGUGCCGCAGCUAACGCAUUAAGUACUCCGCCUGGGGAGUACGCACGCAA